rnacentral:rRNA from 1 species
ACCUAGCAAUAGGUAUGCUUAGGGAGGAGCUUGCGUCACAUUAGUUAGUUGGUGGGGUAAAGGCCUACCAAGACUAUGAUGUGUAGCCGGGCUGAGAGGUUGAACGGCCACAUUGGGACUGAGACACGGCCCAAACUCCUACGGGAGGCAGCAGUAGGGAAUUUUCGGCAAUGGAGGAAACUCUGACCGAGCAACGCCGCGUGAACGAUGAAGUAUUUCGGUACGUAAAGUUCUUUUAUUAGGGAAGAAUAAAUGAUGGAAAAAUCAUUCUGACGGUACCUAAUGAAUAAGCCCCGGCUAACUAUGUGCCAGCAGCCGCGGUAAUACAUAGGGGGCAAGCGUUAUCCGGAAUUAUUGGGCGUAAAGGGUGCGUAGGCGGUUAAAUAAGUUUAUGGUCUAAGUGCAAUGCUCAACAUUGUGAUGCUAUAAAAACUGUUUAGCUAGAGUAAGAUAGAGGCAAGUGGAAUUCCAUGUGUAGUGGUAAAAUGCGUAAAUAUAUGGAGGAACACCAGUAGCGAAGGCGGCUUGCUGGGUCUUUACUGACGCUGAGGCACGAAAGCGUGGGGAGCAAACAGGAUUAGAUACCCUGGUAGUCCACGCCGUAAACGAUGAGUACUAAACGUUGGGUAAAACCAGUGUUGAAGUUAACACAUUAAGUACUCCGCCUGAGUAGUACGUACGCAAGUAUGAAACUUAAAGGAAUUGACGGGACUCCGCACAAGCGGUGGAUCAUGUUGUUUAAUUCGAAGGUACCCGAAAAACCUCACCAGGUCUUGACAUGCUUCUGCAAACUGUAGAAACACAGUGGAGGUUAUCAGUUGCACAGGUGGUGCAUGGUUGUCGUCAGCUCGUGUCGUGAGAUGUUGGGUUAAGUCCCGCAACGAGCGCAACCCUUANUGUUAGUUACCAGCACGUAAUGGUGGGGACUUUAGCA